GCUCUGGUGGUCUAGUAGAAUGAUACGCGCUUUGGGUUGAAUCCGAUCUCUAAGAGAUUAUGUAAUCCGCUGCGCGGGGUCCCGGGUUCAAAUCCCGGCCAGGGUC